rnacentral:lncRNA from 1 species
CAAAGAUGUAAAUCAAGUGGUCUGCAGAGUUCAACUCGGAGACAGGGGGACUCAAGAGAGCAAGGAAACGUGCUUCUCUGGCCAGGAGUGCUGCCUGUCCCUGUUCUAUAUGGAGGAAAAAAGCGCGCCAAACCACAUAGUAACAAACAGCUGUGGGAUGUGAUAGAAAUUUCCUAGGGAAGAAAAUACGCUUAAUAUUAUUUCCCUCAUCUUUUUGUUGUGUUUUGAAAGUUGCUUGUCACGGAACAGUUUGUUUAUAAUGUGUUUAUCAUAUUAUAUAAAAAGUGAGAGAUUACACAAUGAGCCAAAUUACGCACUGUGUGUUGAAAGCAUUUUUUCCUUGGGUAGGGCCUGAGAAGACUCCCACCAAAAAUCCAAAAUCCACAUCGAUUCUAAACUGCUGUCCUUCACCUGUCACGCUGGCAGCAGUUGAUUCUGACAUGUCCCCUUUGUUUUGCCACACUUCCAAGAAAGCUCACAAAAGCACUGUCGUGGAGCCAGAAGAUCUGAGACUCAGCACUCCGCCACCCCCAAGACCUCUCAAGGGUUUUGCGGGGCCCCUUCCUCCAGGAUAUGUUGCAAAACAAAGGGCUUUGUCACUUUUCU